ACAGCCACAUCACAUUGAAACACUGUUUUCCUUAUGAUCAUCAAAGUUAAGCAACGUUGAGCCUGGUCAGUACCUAGAUGGAUGACUGCUUGGGAAUACCAGGUAUUGUCAU